rnacentral:misc_RNA from 1 species
CACAAUUUGAAGAAAGCGCAGAGAAACCUCUGUCGCGGAGCAAUCCCUUUGGCGCUAGAAGGGGACUAGAUAGGCUUAUAUCUAUUGCAUACCAGCUAUUCGAUGAAAAGCGAAUGUGAACUGAGUUACUGGUAUUGUGAAACCUAGUGAGAGAGAGAGAGUUUCACUUGUUGAUUCACUAAUGUCUGCGACUAAGAGCCGGACCAGUAGCUUCACUCGCAACGUAUUGAGUGCAUCUUCUUCUCAGACCCCCGGAAUCAAAUGUGGACCCAAUGGCACAUUCUUUGUUUCUUCUGGGAUAUCUGAUCUUGACAAGAUACUUGGUGGUGGGAUUCCUUUGGGAAGUCUAGUUAUGGUGAUGGAGGAUGCAGAAGCACCUCAUCACAUGCUUCUGUUGAGGAAUUUUAUGUCUCAAGGACUUGUUCAGAACCAACCCCUUCUUUAUGCUAGUCCAUCCAAAGACCCGAGAGGAUUUUUGGGUACAUUGCCUUGCCCCUCAUCAAAAGAUGACAAAUUGCGAAAUCAUGAUCCAGAACAGGAGAAGGGAUUAAGAAUAGCUUGGCAGUAUAAGAAGUAUUUUGGCGAAAAUCAGCAGAGUUUUGAUGGACACAGAGGUAGUAAGCAAGAGUUCUGUAAUGACUUUGACUUGCGGAAGCCAUUGGAGAGGCAUUUUUUCAGUGGGCAACGUGUGGAUUGUGUUAGUGUCAAAGAUUCUCCAAAUCUUGUUGCUUUGCAGGACCGUUGCACCACAUUUUUAGCUCAAUUUCGUAGAAAUGAUGGCAGUAUUUCUUCGGUUGGUCGUAUUGCAAUUCAGUCAUUAUGUGCUCCACAGUGUACACAUUCCAACAUGGAAUGGGAUGUGCUUUCCUUUAUUAGUUAUCUGAAAAGCAUGCUGUGGUCUGCAAAUGCAGUUGCUGUUGUUACCUUUCCACCUUCUCUUCUUUCAGAAUCCUUCUGUAAAAGAUGGCAGCACAUGGCAGACAUUUUACUUUCCGUGAGAGCAAUCCCAGAUGAUGAUAAGGAAUUGGCAAAACUCCUUACUGGUUACCAAGACAUGGUCGGCUUCCUUAAUGUACACAAAGUAGAGCGAACCAAUACUCAGGUUCCUUUGAUUCUUGAGGCAACAACAUUCUCAAUAAAAUUGCAAAAGCGAAGGUUUUUGGUUUUAGAAUGUCUAAAUCAAGCUCCUAUUGAUGGUUCUAGUGGGACUUCGUAUGGAACAUCUGGUAGUUGUUCUGGGUCCUCCAAAACUGGCACCCUCGAUUUUUAAUAACAUGGCCAUAUCACUGGCAAGUGAUCCACCUCAUAGAAGUCACACAUUGAAAGCUGGCCAUGAAUGGAAGAGAAUUCUUGAAUUCAAACUAGCCUUCAACACCAAAAAGGGGAUUAGUCCUACUGCCUGUGCAUAUACCUUGAAUUUCUUAAGAUCAAUUGGCCCAUAUAUAUAUAUUAUAUGGAAAGCAUGAUGCAUGAAUUUUCAUUAUAGCUUGUGUUUAAACUAACUGCAAGGAUUAUUGAGAUAUAUAGGAUUUGUGUAACUUGAGUUGUAGUCUUCUCUGUAAUGUUAUAUAUCUCAAUAAUCCUUGCAGUUAGU